rnacentral:rRNA from 1 species
AAUUGGAGGCCAGUGAAUGGCAAGACUAGGAACACCUAUACCCUUUAUAUCAAAAAAACUUUUCAUCUAAGUGAAAAGACUUAGAUAAUCAAGGAAGACGAAAAGACCCCGCGGAACUUUACUUUUUCUUACACUUCUGCCUAGAGCUAGAAAAGUAAAAAGUUUGAUUGGGGCAAUCUCGGAACCACCAAGCUUCCGAUCCUCAUUAUAAAAGAUCUAAAACUAGAUAAGGGCAAAAUAGAAGUUACCCCGGGGAUAACAGCGUUAUCCAACUUAAGAGUACACAUCGAAAGUUGGGUUUGCGA